rnacentral:rRNA from 1 species
UCAAAUUAUUAAGCGCACAUGGCGGAUGCCUUGGCAUCAGAAGCCGAUGAAGGACGUAGUAGGCUGCGAUAAGCCUCGGGGAGCUGUCAAACGAGCUUUGAUCCGAGGAUUUCCGAAUGGGGAAACCCAGCUGGAGUAAUGUCCAGUUAUUUCUACCUGAAUAUAUAGGGUAGAUAAAGGGAACGUGGGGAAGUGAAACAUCUCAGUACCCACAGGAAGAGAAAACAACCGUGAUUCCGUUAGUAGUGGCGAGCGAACGCGGAAGAGGCCAAACCAAUACUGUGCCAAGCCGGCAGGCGUUGCAGUAUUGGGGUUGUGGGACCAGUUAGAAGCGACUGCCGUUGCUUCAAUGAGUCAGAAAUUAAUUGUGUAGGUGAAUGGCGUGGGAAAGCCAGGCACAGAGGGUGAGAUCCCCGUAGCCGAAACACUUUUAACUCAUUAUUGGUAUCCCAAGUAAUACCGGACUCGAGGAAUCCGGUAUGAAUCUGGCGGGACCACCCGCUAAGCCUAAAUACUCUCUGAUGACCGAUAGCGGACUAGUACCGUGAGGGAAAGGUGAAAAGAACCCCGAAAGGGGAGUGAAAUAGAAUCUGAAACCGUGUGCGUACAAGCCGUUGGAGCGACGUAAGUUGUGACAGCGUGCCUUUUGAAGAAUGAGUCUACGAGUUAGUGUCGUGUUGCAAGGUUAACCCGUCGAGGGGAAGCCGUAGCGAAAGCGAGUCUGAAUAGGGCGAUUAAGUAGCACGAUCUAGACCCGAAGCGAGGUGAUCUACGCAUGGCCAGGUUGAAGCGCGGGUAAGACCGCGUGGAGGACCGAACCCACUAAUGUUGAAAAAUUAGGGGAUGAGCUGUGUGUAGGGGUGAAAGGCCAAUCAAACUUCGUGAUAGCUGGUUCUCUCCGAAAUGCAUUUAGGUGCAGCGUCACGUGUUUCUUACCGGAGGUAGAGCUACUGGAUGGUCGAGGGGUCCUACAAGAUUACCAACAUCAGCCAAACUCCGAAUGCCGGUAAGUGAGAGCGCGGCAGUGAGACUGUGGGGGAUAAGCUUCAUAGUCGAGAGGGAAACAACCCAGAAUAGCAACUAAGGUCCCAAAGCCUGUGCUAAGUGGAAAAGGAUGUGGAGUCGCAUAGACAACCAGGAUGUUGGCUUAGAAGCAGCCACCAUUAAAAGAGUGCGUAAUAGCUCACUGGUCAAGUGAUUCCGCGCCGACAAUGUAACGGGGCUCAAGCACAGCACCGAAGUUCUAUCAUUCACACAUUAUCCCGGUCGCAAGAUCCAGGAGUGUGGAUGGGUAGGAGAGCGUCGUGUCACUGGUGAAGCGGCAGAGGAAUCUAGCCGUGGAAGUGACACGAGUGAGAAUGUAGACAUGAGUAGCGAGAGAGGGGUGAGAAACCCCUCCGCCGAAAGACCAAGGGUUCCUGGGCCAGGCUAAUCCGCCCAGGGUAAGUCGGGACCUAAGGCGAGGCCGUCAGGCGUAGUCGAUGGACAACUGGUUGAUAUUCCAGUACCCGCUUUAAUUCGCCCAUAACGAAUCCACUAAUGCUAAGAGUCUGAAUCCUGUGCGGCGUAAGUUGCGUGGGUGGAUGGCUCGAACCGGUGUGGUAGUAGUUAAGCAAUGGUGUGACACAGGAAGGCAGUCCAACCCGGGCGAUGGUUGUCCCGGGGUAAGGUGGUAGGGAGUGAUGUAGGUAAAUCCGCAUCACAUAUAUCCUGAGAGCUGAUGCCGAGCCGUAAGGCGAAGUGGAUGAUCCUAUGCUGUCAAGAAAAGCAUCUAGCGAGAAUUAUUGCGGCCCGUACCCGAAACCGACACAGGUGGUCAGGUAGAGAAUACCAAGGCGAUCGAGAGAAUCAUGGAUAAGGAACUCGGCAAAAUGCCCCCGUAACUUCGGGAGAAGGGGGGCCCUUUGACGUGUAGGAGUUUUCCUCCGAAGCGUUGGAAGGCCGCAGAGACCAGGCUCAAGCGACUGUUUACCAAAAACACAGGUCCGUGCGAAGUAGCAAUACGAUGUAUACGGACUGACGCCUGCCCGGUGCUGGAAGGUUAAGGGGACUGGUUAGCCGCAAGGCGAAGCUGAGAACUUAAGCCCCAGUAAACGGCGGUGGUAACUAUAACCAUCCUAAGGUAGCGAAAUUCCUUGUCGGGUAAGUUCCGACCUGCACGAAUGGCGUAACGACUUGAGCGCUGUCUC